UGGGGAAUUUUGGACAAUGGACGCAAGUCUGAUCCAGCCAUGCCGCGUGCGGGAAGAAGGCCUUCGGGUUGUAAACCGCUUUUGUCAGGGAAGAAACGAGUUUCUCUAAUACAGAGACUUAAUGACGGUACCUGAAGAAUAAGCACCGGCUAACUACGUGCCAGCAGCCGCGGUAAUACGUAGGGUGCGAGCGUUAAUCGGAAUUACUGGGCGUAAAGCGUGCGCAGGCGGUUAUAUAAGACAGAUGUGAAAUCCCCGGGCUCAACCUGGGAACUGCAUUUGUGACUGUAUAGCUGGAGUACGGCAGAGGGGGAUGGAAUUCCGCGUGUAGCAGUGAAAUGCGUAGAUAUGCGGAGGAACACCGAUGGUGAAGGCAAUCCCCUGGGCCUGUACUGACGCUCAUGUACGAAAGCGUGGGGAGCAAACA
rnacentral:rRNA from 1 species